GAGAGAGGCCAGAGGCAAUAAGCACUGCUAAUACUUACACCCACGGUUAAACUCCGUGGCUCCCUCA
rnacentral:tRNA from 1 species